rnacentral:lncRNA from 1 species
UCACCCAAAAGACAACACUUUCAUUGGCGGAAAUGGUCACCAGAGCAGAAUGUUACAUAGAGGGUGAUGAGAGAAACACUAAGAAGAAGGUGUGAUACAUAAAGGCGCAUGUUCCCAACACCUAGGGUUCACACCACCAUAGGAAGAGCAAUUAUACCUCUCCCAUAAAAGACAAAAUUGCAUUCAAUAGAGUAGGAAAAUUGAGGUGAGGUUCACACCUC